rnacentral:rRNA from 1 species
AUUGAACGCUGGCGGCAUGCCUUACACAUGCAAGUCGAACGGCAGCACGGGAGCAAUCCUGGUGGCGAGUGGCGAACGGGUGAGUAAUAUAUCGGAACGUGCCAGUCGUGGGGAUAACGUAGCGAAAGCUACGCUAAUACCGCAUACGAUCUAUGGAUGAAAGCGGGGGAUCGCAAGACCUCGCGCGAUUGGAGCGGCCGAUAUCAGAUUAGGUAGUUGGUGAGGUAAAGGCUCGCCAAGCCGACGAUCUGUAGCUGGUCUGAGAGGACGACCAAGCCACACUGGGACUGAGACACGGCCCAGACUCCUACGGGAGGCAGCAGUGGGGAAUUUUUGGGACAAUGGGCGCAAGCCUGAUCCAGCAAUGCCGCGUGCAGGAUGAAGGCCUCGGUUGUAAC